rnacentral:rRNA from 1 species
CUGGUUGAUCCUGCCAGUAGUCAUAUGCUUGUCUCAAAGAUUAAGCCAUGCAUGUAUCAGCACAAGCCUAAAAAUGGUGAAGCCGCGAAUAGCUCAUUACAACAGUCGAAGUUUAUUAGAAAGUGUUGUAUGGAUAACUGUGGUAAUCCUAGAGCUAAUACAUGUUCCAAGCCCUGACUUAACGGAAGGGUGCAUUUAUUAGAACAAAGCCGAUCAGACUACGUCUGUCUCAGGUUGACUCUGAAUAACUUUGCUAAUCGCACAGUCUUUGUACUGGCGAUGUAUCUUUCAAAUGUCUGCCCUAUCAACUGUUGAUGGUAGAUUAUGCGCCUACCAUGGUUGUAACGGGUAACGGAGAAUCAGGGUUUGAUUCCGGAGAGGGAGCCUGAGAAACAACUACCACAUCCAAGGAAGGCAGCAGGCACGCAAAUUACCCACUCCCAGUGCGGGGAGGUAGUGACGAAAAAUAACGAGACGAUGCUCUAUGAGUAUCGUCAUCGGAAUGAGUACGAUAUAAAUACUCUAACGAGUAUCUAUUGGAGGGCAAGUCUGGU